rnacentral:rRNA from 1 species
AAGCCGACCUGAGAGGGUGACCCGCCCACCACUGGACUAAGACACCGUCCAGACUCCUACGGGAGGACAGCAGUUGGGCAUAUGCACAUGGCGCAAGCCUGAUGCAGCAACGCCGCGUGAGGGACGACGGCCUUCGGGUUGUAACCUUCUUUUAGUAGGGAAGAAGCGAAAGUGACGGUACCUGCAGAAAAAGCACCGACUAACUACGUGCCAGCACCCGCGGUAAUACGUAGGGUGCAAGCGUUAUCCGGAAUUAUUUGGGCGUAAAGAGCUCGUAGGCGGUUUGUCGCGUCUGCUGUGAAAACUGGAGGCUCAACCUCCAGCCUGCAGUGGGUACGGGCAGACUAGAGUGCGGUAGGGGAGAUUGGAAUUCCUGGUGUAGCGGUGGAAUGCGCAGAUAUCAGGAGGAACACCGAUGGCGAAGGCAGAUCUCUGGGCCGUAACUGACGCUGAGGAGCGAAAGCAUGGGGAGCGAACAGGAUUAGAUACCCUGGUAGUCCAUGCCGUAAACGUUGGGAACUAGAUGUAGGGACCAUUCCACGGUUUCUGUGUCGCAGCUAACGCAUUAAGUUCCCCGCCUGGGGAGUACGGCCGCAAGGCUAAAACUCAAAGGAAUUGACGGGGGCCCGCACAAGCGGCGGAGCAUGCGGAUUAAUUCGAUGCAACGCGAAGAACCUUACCAAGGCUUGACAUAUACCGGAAAAGUUCAGAAAUGUUCUCCCCGCAAGGUCGGUAUACAGGUGGUGCAUGGUUGUCGUCAGCUCGUGUCGUGAGAUGUUGGGUUAAGUCCCGCAACGAGCGCGACCCUCGUUCUAUGUUGCCAGCACGUAAUGGUGGGAACUCAUAGGAGACUGCCGGGGUCAACUCGGAGGAAGGUGGGGAUGACGUCAAAUCAUCAUGCCCCUUAUGUCUUGGGCUUCACGCAUGCUACAAUGGCCGAUACAAAGGGCUGCAAUACCGCGAGGUGGAGCGAAUCCCAAAAAGUCGGUCUCAGUUCGGAUUGAGGUCUGCAACUCGACCUCAUGAAGUCGGAGUCGCUAGUAAUCGCAGAUCAGCAACGCUGCGGUGAAUACGUUCCCGGGCCUUGUACACACCGCCCGUCAUGUCAUAAAGUCGGUAACACCCGAAGCCAGUGGCCCAACCGCAAGGAGGGAGCUGUCGAAGGUGGAAUCCGGAUGGCU